CAAAAGGUAAAUCAGAUAUUCAGAUUACAAAAAUAAAAAUAAUAAAAAAUAGAACCCUUCACCCUCCGCCUCCCAUCUCCUUUGUCGCCGCUCCUUGCAGAAGAAUCAGAUUACAAAAAAUUGAAAUGUUGCCAUUCACGCCUCUAUCAAUUAAUCUAUUCUUCACUCCAGAUUCUUCUCUCUUUUUUAUUCUAUACUAUAGUAUCUGGUCUGGUGGUUCAUUCCUGUUGUAUUAAGGAGCUUCUGCAAUCAAGGGAGGAGGAUGUCGUAUCAUAUAUGAUAUUGACAGAUUACUCUGAUUGGAAAUGGAUGAGAAGAUAGGAAGAAAGGUUUUGGAUGUUUGAAGAUGUUGAGGAAGCGUUUUCUGUACAGGAGUAUUGAGGGAGCUCAUUAAGCUUAUUAAGAUCCACAAGGAACCUUGAAGCUAUUGCAAUGUCUUUCCUUGUAGCAAACGCAAUUGGUGCUCAUAUCAAUGGCCGUUGACUUUCUGCUGCCAUUCAUAUUAGCAUCAUUUGUUGCAAAUUUUCACUUUCACGGCUUCUCAAUACUUCGAUUCUCUGAAGUUAAUGUCAGCAUUCUUCGGCCCAAUCUAUAAGGACCGACUAGAAGAGAAUAGGGAUCUGUUAGCUGUCAAAGUGCAGAGGCAUUUUGUUCUUGAGACUAGCUGGAGAUUUAAAUUGUGCAAUUAGGACUUUGUCUUCUCAAAUUUCUGUAGACAGUAGGUAGUGAUUGUUCAUUCCUUUUUUUUUUUUUUUUGGGUUGUAUAUUAUAUUAUCUAUGGAAGAGGCGAUUAACCAUGUACAAUGAAUCUGUAUCAAAUAUAAUUUUGAUUGGUAAA